rnacentral:misc_RNA from 1 species
GAUGAAGAACGUAGCGAAAUGCGAUAAGUAAUGUGAAUUGCAGAAUUCAGUGAAUCAUCGAAUCUUUGAACGCACAUUGCGCCCGUCAGUAUUCUGGCGGGCAUGCCUGUUCGAGCGUCAUUACGCCCCUCAAGUCCCCUGUGGACUUGGUGUUGGGGAUCGGCGAGGCUGGUUUUCCAGCACAGCCGUCCCUUAAAUUAAUUGGCGGUCUCGCCGUGGCCCUCCUCUGCGCAGUAGUAAAACACUCGCAACAGGAGCCCGGCGCGGUCCACUGCCGUAAAACCCCCGACAUAGGCCUUCCUGUCCGCCCCCGGCGGGGAGGGAGACCGCCUAAUGUUGACCUCGGAUCAGGUAGGACUACCCGCUGAACUUAAGCAUAUCAAUAAGCGGAGGA